rnacentral:lncRNA from 1 species
AUACUAAAACUAGGCAUUGGGAUCAUAAUUGAAUGUGUAAACUUUUACUAUCAAAAAUCAUAAUAUUGUGUACAACAAGUAAAAAUUGUUCUUCAAAAAAUUCCUCAUAUUUCACUAGAUGAAUUUCUACAUGGCUAAUUUUUAAUAUUCUAGUUGACUAUACGAAUUUUGAUUUUUCAUCAUCCACAACUAUCAUUACAUUAAAUUCAAGCCACUUUUUAACUUUAAUUCAAUAAAAAUUUAGGAAAAUAUUACCAAACAUAAAAUCUAAUCUCCUAAAUUCACAUUCUAUGAAGUCUUUUUCAAAUCAUAUUUUGCCAAAUUUAAAAUAUACCUCUUUCACCAUGCUUAUUAAGUGGCAUGCACCCUAUACAAAGCUCAUAUUCAUUAGUAUUGAAAUGGCUUUACUUUUUAGUUUAAAUUGAUUCACUAUCAUGAGAGUCAUAAAAUUAUUUGUCAUACUUAUAUCAAAUAAUAUGAUCACAUUAGUGCUUUUUAUUUAUACCUUCAAAUAGAUCAAUCCACUACCAGAAUUAAUAGUAGUAAAAGCAAUAUAAAAGCCACCUUCUCUUACCAUGACUUCCAAGUUUAAAUUAGUUGAGGCUCUACUUACU